rnacentral:lncRNA from 1 species
UCUUGGGCAUUGGAAUACUUUGUUUCCAGUUGGUGGCUCUGUUUGGGCAGACAUAGGAGAUAUGGCCCUGAUGGAGGAAGUGUGACAUAGGGGUGAGUUUUUAGAACUUAAAAAUGUGCCAUUUGUCUCUUUGCUCCCUCCUUGUAGUGUGAGAUGUGAGGCUCAACUGUUUCUGCCUCCAUACCUUCUUGAGCUUGCUGCCAUGUAUCCCUACCAUAAUGCACUGCUAUCCCUCUGAAACUGUAAACUAAAUAAAUCCAUCUUUCUAAAAGUUGCCUUGGUGGUGGUAUAAUAUCACAGCAAUAUUAACUAAGACAGCAUCUCACUAGGAGUAGUGUCACAUGUCAUUUGGUCUUAGCCUACUCCUUUUAUAAAUCCAGGUGAGGGCAUUUCAUCUAGUAUGAUUGAUAGGCUCAUACAUCUGUUUUUUACGUGAUUUGGUGUAUAUUCCAGUGUCAUCCUUUGUUGGCAUACAUAAGUGAUCAGUUUGUGCCGGCAGAGUGCUGGCAGAUGGUGGUUACUCACUUGCAUAAACAAGAUGUGCAGAGUCAUUCUUUCUUGGCACUUACACUCUUGGUGAAAUAACUCUGGUCAAAGCUGUUACUUUAUAAAAAAAUCAUUCUUGGCUAGUCUGAAAACUGCAAUUCCGUACAACAUAAGAAAAACUUAGAGCAGGCUCAAUUUGAUUUACUCAAUGAAACUGUAGAACUUUUGUAUGUAAUGAAAGUUAAAUUAUUAUUUCAAAAUUGAUUACUAUGAGUAAUAAUUUUAUAAACCUCCUGGGAAGUAGGAACUAAAAGUCUAUGGCUGUUAUACAAAUUAGAAGGGAAACAAACACCCUCUACAGAAAAUUAUAUCACAAAGGGAAACAGAAUGGGUUUUUAAUAAUUACUUAAUUAGUAUGCUACAAUGAAGUGACUAUGAUAGCCUUCGUUUUACAACCUGACUGGAUUUGAUGGCUUAGUAAACACACCUCUGGCUGUGAUGUGUCUUUGACAGUCCUUUGCCUGCUCCUUCACUGCUGUGAUGCAUGUGACUGCCCUUCUUCACCACAUCCUACCAUAAUGAGCAGACAGAUACCUUGAGCCCAAAAUAAAGCCUUCUUUCUGGAAAUUGUGUUAGGCAAAUACUUUGUUAGGCAUAACUAAUGUGGCAGUUGUAGCUAAUAACACUGCAUUAUUUACUGAAAAUUUGCUAAGAGAAUUUACAUAUCUCCCCACCUUGCCCUUGGGUGAGGAUCAAAGCCAAGGCCUCUGGGUGCUAGGGAAGCUAUAUCUCCAGCCCAUGUCUUUUCAGUGUGUAUCUACACAAAAAUUUAGUGCAAAGUGUGGUUAUGCUAGCUAGCUUGGUUAUAGUAAUAUUUCAUAAUGUAUAUGUGUAUUAAAACCCUUAAGUAUGUUUACUAUAUUUAUAUUGAACUAUUAAUAUAUUAUUUUAAAAGUAUAUACCAUCAUAUAUAUUUAUUAUUCAUCAAUAUAGAUUAAAAUGGUACUUUUUGAUAUUUUGAAGUAAAUAUGAAUACUGUACUUUUCAGAACAAAUAAGAAACAUCCUUUAUUUCUCU